UUUACACUAAUGUUGACAUUUUGUAUACCAUGGUUAUUUUAUUUCUACAGCCUGUCUGGGCCAAAAAUUGUGACUUUUCUAAAAAGGAUUAUAAAUACUUGAAUUUUGUGAUAAAAGUGGUCGACAGCGCGGUGAACAUAACACCACCCAAUCUCUACAUAGGUAAGUUGAAACCUGUCUGUAAAAAUUACUUAUACUUUUCAUUUACUUUAUUGUACAUCAUAUCAAUAUAUUAGAUGUAAAUAUUUCACACUUAAUCAAUAAAUGGUUAAAGUAACACAUGUUCAUGCCUUUGCAGAUAUUGUACUUUUUAAUCAUUCAUCUACGUGUAUUUUAAGUCUGAUAGCAUGAUAAAACAUUUCAUUGUGUGUCUUUAUAAACUCUUAACUUUCUACCACAGCUGAUAUAGACGUCAGUGGUUGACAAAUUGAAUUUAUCAGGUGGUUAACUCAUUACUUAUCAAUAUUAUAAGCAUAGAAUACACCUACUUUGAACAAAAAUAAUUUUUGUGGGUGGCAAAAUGCAAUGUGCAACAAUAUCGCUAUGGUUGUUUGCAUGCUGUGUACAGUUUGACCGCUAGGGGGCGGCGGGAAAACGUGACUGAUGAGCAUGAGUUCCGACGCGCCUGGUUCAAAGUUCAUCACGUGGCCUUAUAAAGUUAUACAUUGACGAGUUGUGUCAAUCUCCGGGUUAGAAGUACUAGGGGAUUCAUUGGUGUAGUAGUCCCUCACCAGGCCUGUAGGAUCACAGCACCAUUCAGCCGUCAAUAUGAACAAGGUUCUGCUGUUCCUGGUUGUUCCCUGCUUGUUGGGAUUCAUAUUCGUCCAAGCUCAGCCAGGGUUUGGGGGCCAAGGAGAUUAUUACAAUCAGGCGUUAGCAGCCAGGUACCUGCAAACGCAACAGAGAGGCUUUUUGGGUCUGACAGGUGGACAAUUACUGGCAGCAUUUUUAACUUGCUUCGGUCUCUGGUAUAUGACAAAUGGAACUGGCAAAACUACGGGUUAACUGAUGCGAUGAUAAAUAAAGACCUCUUGCGCGAUGUAAAAUCAAACCUUGUGUUUUCAUCAAAUACAUUGUGUUAUUACCGUUGUAAUUAAAACGUUAUUAUCCUGUGUUUGUAAAUUUCAAUGACAUAUCUAUUACAAUAAAAAUAUCAAAUGUUA